UGGGGAAUAUUGGACAAUGGGCGCAAGCCUGAUCCAGCCAUGCCGCGUGAGUGAUGAAGGCCCUAGGGUUGCAAAGCUCUUUCACCGGUGAAGAUAAUGACGGUAACCGGAGAAGAAGCCCCGGCUAACUUCGUGCCAGCAGCCGCGGUAAUACGAAGGGGGCUAGCGUUGUUCGGAUUUACUGGGCGUAAAGCGCACGUAGGCGGACUUUUAAGUCAGGGGUGAAAUCCCGGGGCUCAACCCCGGAACUGCCUUUGAUACUGGAAGUCUUGAGUAUGGUAGAGGUGAGUGGAAUUCCGAGUGUAGAAGUGAAAUUCGUAGAUAUUCGGAGGAACACCAGUGGCGAAGGCGGCUCACUGGACCAUUACUGACGCUGAGGUGCGAAAGCGUGGGGAGCAAACAGG
rnacentral:rRNA from 1 species